rnacentral:rRNA from 1 species
AUGGCCGCCGCCCUCGCGCGCCGCGCCGCCGCCACCAUCCCCCGCCACCUCGCCGUCGCCGCCGCCACCGCCACCAUCCCCCGCCACCUCGCCGCCGCGACCGCGGCUCCCACCAUCUCGCCCGCCGCUGCCGCUGCCGCCCGCUACCGUUUCGCCGGCGCGUUCCUCCGCCGCCGCGGCCACCACACCGGCGCUUCCCCGCAGAUGGAGCAGCGCCUCGCGGAGCUCGAGAAGCGCGUCGGCUCCCUCGAGGCGGGCGCUGCCAAGGGCCUCGAGGGGUCGCAUCCCGUCCGCCAGCUGGAGGAGCGCGUCGCCCGCCUCGAGGUCGACUACGAGAGGCAGACCGCGCGCAUCUUCGUCGAGAUCGAUCAGAAGAUGGUGACGCUCGAGCUGAAGCUGGACAAGGCCUCGUUCGACCAGUACAAGGAGGUCCAGGCCGGGCUGAACAAUCUGCGGCACUUCAUCUGA